UCAGGACAUAUGCAUCUAUAAAUUGAGAAGUUGUUCUAGCAGUGAUGAGAAAGCAAGUCAAGAGACCAUUUCCGUGGUCCAGAUGAGAGUUAGGAGGGACCGGAGGUACAGACGUGGGAGUGGUGUGAAAAGAAGAAAUGCGUUGAGUAAGAGAAAGUCUAAGAAGGCUAUCAACAUCCUUGCCCGGAUGCCUUUACGCAUGCCCACUCCCGCUGGAAGGAUUCCUCCAGGCUUCCAUUCACCCUACCCAUUCACGACCUUGGAGAAGCAUUCCAGCUGAAAUCUACUGUGGAUACUUCUUCAUACCCUUCCUCCUCCUUCCUCCAGAUGAGUGAGAUGAUGACCCUCGUCUGCCUGAGAUCUUACUGGGAAAGAGAUCGGGCCUACUGCAUGGCAGGCUAUCACUAGAUAAUGGUUCCCGACUCUUGAGUGACAGAGUGCCAGGACGUUGAGCAUCUUUUCAACGCUUGCUUUGAUCGCUGUCUUGUUCUUUGAGCUUCAUAGCUGUAUUCAUAUAAUUGAUGGUCUUUUGUAGCAAUUUUAAUUUAAAGUAUAUCUUGUGAGUUUGUAUUGAAGAAACAAAUUGAG